AAUUCCGAUUGGCCUGCUAAGAUGAAUUGAAAUUGGAAUGUCGAUUUCUUCGGCCAUUACCAUUGAAUGACCACCACUCUUCCUCGCCUACGAACUUCCUCAUCCCCAUUCUCCUCCUCCUUCCGAUCUCUUUCUCCGGCCAAAUUCAUCUCCAUAAAGGAGAACAUUAUAUGACAGUAUAGCAUAGAGAAAGAUCAUGGCUGUAGAGGCUUUUGCCAAAACAAAUUUGAUGGAAGAUAUGGAUGAUGACGAUGACAUGCCUUUAGUUUUCAAACGAAGUAGUACCACAUCAAAGCAAAAUCAGUCCAAUUCAUCAUCUCAGAAGCAGGAUGGAAGAUCGGGGCGGCAAGUUCCUGAUAUACGUUCACCUAAUGGCCAGAGCUCUAGUACUCAUAAAGUUAAGACAGUCACCUCUUCUAAGGCAUCUCCAGCAGUUUCACCUUUAACUAGUCCAAAAGCGUCGCCUCUGUCAAGCAGGACAUCUCCUGCACCAAACUCAAGGCCGUCAUCUUCUGCAGGUAAUCAGGCAAAAAAUGUUAAUCAACAAUCCAAUGUUACUCCUAAGGAGUCGAAACAAGCUGUUGAACCAAAAUCUGAACCUAAUGAUGAAGCUGAGGAUUCUGAUGAUGAUAAACUAUUGAGUUCUAGGGUCCCUUCUGGGUUAUCUAAGAGCAAUUCUGUUCAUGCCAAGAAAGUGCUUUGUACUUCAACAUCAGUUCAGAAGUCUAGACCUCCCAAAAAAGAGGAUUCAGAUGAUGAAACUCCCUUAGCAUCAAGGUUUCCAAUGAAAUCCAAUGCAGGGGCUUCCACUAGCAAGUUUUCUAGUUCUGAAGAAGUUAAGCCUAAGAUUCGUCAGAAUGGUUUGCCAUCUGCGACAGUUUUAAGUAAGAGACCCCCUGGUGAGGUCAAGUCUGCUGCUCAGGCUUCAGUUAAAAAGCCUAGACUUUCUGAUGCGUCCACACCUGUUUCUAGUAAGCAACCGCCUUUCAAAACUGAAAAGAAGACAGAGGACGAUGACGACGAUGUUCCUAUAUCUCAGAGGAUAAAAAAGGCAGUAGAUUCAGCUUCAGCUUCAGCUAGUAAAGUGUCAUAUGUGAAGAAAGCAACUAAAGUUGUUUCGUCAUCGAUGAAGAAAACAAAGAAGAAGUUGAAAAAACCCAAGUACUCUAAGUCGUCAAAACUGCAGCCAAGCUCUGGUGAUGGGCAAAAAUGGACUACACUGGAACACAAUGGUGUGAUUUUUCCACCUCCAUACAAACCUCAUGGGGUUAAGAUGCUCUACAAGGGAAAGCCCGUGGAUCUUACUCCAGAGCAGGAAGAGGUCGCAACAAUGUAUGCCGUGAUGUUAGACACUGAAUACAUGACUAAAGAGCAGUUCAAAGAGAAUUUCAUGAAUGACUGGAGAAAAAUACUUGGAAAAAACCAUGUCAUUCAAAAGUUAGAAGAGUGUGAUUUUACCCCAAUAUAUGAGUGGCAUCAGAGUGAGAAGGAGAAGAAGAAGCAAAUGAGUUCAGAAGAGAAGAAGGCAUUGAGAGAAGAGAAACUUAAGCAAGAAGAGAAAUACAUGUGGGCUAUUGUGGAUGGUGUUAAAGAGAAGGUCUUACGUCUUCUUUUCUUGGGGAUGUUUCUUCUGUCUUUUUCAACAUCAUCUGCUGUUAUUGUGGUUGGGAACUUUCGGGUUGAACCACCUGGAUUGUUCCGUGGCCGCGGGGAACAUCCAAAGAUGGGAAAGCUAAAGAGACGGAUCCGGCCAAAUGAUAUCACAAUAAAUAUUGGAAAGGGUGUUCCAGUACCGGAGUGCCCCAUCCCUGGCCAAAGGUGGAAGGAAGUAAGGCAUGACAACACAGUAACAUGGUUAGCUUUCUGGAACGACCCUAUUAAUCCAAGAGAAUUCAAAUACGUUUUCCUAGCAGCCAGUAGUUCCUUGAAAGGGCAAAGUGAUAAGGAGAAGUAUGAGAAAGCUAGGCGUUUGAAGGAUUACAUUGAAGGCAUUAGAUCUGCAUAUACAAAAGAUUUUGCAAGUAAAGAUCCUGUGAAGCGUCAGAUUGCAGUUGCAACUUAUCUUAUCGAUAAAUUAGCUCUGAGGGCAGGGAAUGAGAAGGAUGAUGACGAAGCUGAUACAGUUGGUUGCUGUACUUUGAAAGUAGAGAAUGUAGAGCCAGUACCUCCAAAUAUUUUGAAGUUCGAUUUUCUUGGUAAAGAUUCUAUCAGGUACCAAAAUGAGGUGGCUGUGUAUGAGCCUGUUUUUAAAGCUAUUCAACAGUUCCGAAGUGGAAAAAAGGGCAGUGACGAUCUUUUUGACAAGCUUGAUACGAGUAAGCUUAAUGCCCAUCUAAAGGAACUCAUGCCAGGGCUCACAGCAAAAGUAUUUCGUACAUAUAAUGCAUCUUUUACAUUGGAGCAGCAAUUGACUAAGCUCACACAAGGGGGGGAGCUUGCUGAUAAAAUUGCGGUAUAUAAUGUGGCAAAUAAAGAGGUUGCAAUAAUUUGUAAUCACCAGCGUACUGUCUCGAAGUCCCAUAGCGUGCAAAUUUCAAGGUUGAAUAACAAGAUAGAUGAGUUAAAGGCUAUUUUGGAAGAAUUCAAAGUAGAUUUGGCUCGGGCCAAAAAAGGGAAGCCUCCGGUGAAAGGCGCCGAUGGCAAGGCGAAGAGGAACUUGACCCCUCAAGCAUUACAGAUAAAAAUAGACCAAACUAAUGUGAAGAUUGAUAACAUAGAGAGGCAAAUAGAUACUAAAGAAGAGUUGAAAACUGUGGCUUUGGGCACAUCAAAAAUCAACUAUUUGGAUCCUAGGAUUACUGUGGCAUGGUGUAAGCGCCAUGAGGUUCCCAUUGAAAAGAUGUUCAACAAGUCUCUUCUAGCAAAGUUUGCCUGGGCGAUGGAUGUUGAACCUUCCUUCACAUUCUAAAUUUUUGGUGGUUGUUGUAGUGUAGGACAUCUCUUCAAAGUCAGUCUCCCUCCUAAUACCCAAUUGUUCACAUUUCCCCCUUCCUCCCUCCUGGAAAGAGAAUAGAAAAAAAGUUCUAUUAUUUUUGCACUUAAAAAAGAAGAAAAAAAAAGAAGAGAUCUUUGAUCGUUGUCUGACAAUAUUUAAACUUGUUUACCCUGACAAAUUCCUGUUGUAAUUUGAGCUUCUUCUGAAUUUAUGGGUGCCAUGUUCUUCAGGAAGGAAUUUCAAGUUUUCUGGGUAAUGUGUAAGCUAGCAUCAACAAUAAUUUAUGAUAAUUUUUUUUUGCACCAAGUCUACGAGCUGAAGGAUAUUGCCAUUCAUAUUUUGCUGAAAUUGUGCAAUCCCAAGGAUUCUUCACUUGAGUAAUUGAAGUUGGGUUGAUUCUUGAA